AACGAACGCUGGCGGCAUGCCUAACACAUGCAAGUCGAACGAGACCUUCGGGUCUAGUGGCGCACGGGUUCGUAACGCGUGGGAACCUGCCCUUAUGUUCGGAAUAACUCCCCGAAAUGGGUGCUAAUACCGGAUAAUGUCUUCUGACCAAAGCUUUAUCGCCUUUGGAUGGGCCCGCGUUGGAUUAGCUAGUUGGUAGGGUAAAAGCAUACCAAGGCGACGAUCCAUAGCUGGUCAGAGAGGAUGAUCAGCCACACUGGGACUGAGACACGGCCCAGAAUACUACGGGAGGGAGCAGUGGGGAAUAUUGGAAAAUGGGCGAAAGCCUGAUCCAGCAAUGCCGCGUGAGUGAUGAAGGCCUUAGGGUAGUAAAGCUCUUUUACCCGGGAUGAUAAUGACAGUACCGGGAGAAUAAGCUCCGGCUAACUCCGUG
rnacentral:rRNA from 1 species